rnacentral:lncRNA from 1 species
AUCUGUGUUUUGUUUGCUGUACGCUCAGAGCAGGCGUCAACAUGUGAAGGUGGGCCUGCCUGCUGUGGAGGGAGCACAGGAGCAGCAACCAAUCGUUGUUUCUCGACCAUGCUUAAUAGCUGCUUAACUCAACAUAGCUGCAGUAAAUCCGACUGAUCGGCCAAUGCAUUUGGGAAAAUUUCAUGACUGGAUUUUAUUGGGUGCCACUUGCUCCUUGCUUGAAAUGCACAGUUCAGUUUGGUGGAAACUGCCUCCAAUUGACACCUUCAGUGCACACCGAGCGUACCAUUAAGGCCCACUCUUAAAUAUUAUACCAGCCUUUAGUCUUAAGAAUUCAUAUCGAUUAACUGCGAUUAGUCGUUUUCAUUUUACAGCAUUUACCAGACGCCUCUUAUCUUAUCCAGAGUGCCUUACCUUCAGUAGAUACAGGGACAGUCCCCGCCUGGAGACGCUCAGUGUUCAGUGUCCUGCUCAGGGACACAAUGGUAGUUAGUGGGGUUUGAACCUGGGACUUUGUGGACUUCAUUCGUGAGUAUCUUACCCACUAGACUACUACCACACUUUGCCACAACUGUGUUUUUUACACAAAUGCCGAUGUUCUGUUCAUAGGUAGAUAGAACUGAAGAAAUUGUGGAACCCAGGAGAAGAUUCUAGGUGGUGCCCCAUGGAAUAGAGAGAAUUGUGUGUGGACAGCGUUGCGGUGCUGCCAGCGUUUACGUUCCAGGCUUCCACCGCUGGUCAUUAGAUGUCAGGCCGGGGGGCGUGCUGAAGCAGCAGUGACACCGCUAUUCCUACCUGCCAGUUUGAGAAAGGAGAUCGGUGCAGCUCCGGGGCUGACGGAGCAGCCUGUGCAUUGGGGUGAUUAAUGGGACCGUACAGACCGUUGCAGCAGAAGCUGUUUUUAAUGUGGUGCUGCUUGGAGAAGCAGCUGGGCGGCCCAUCCCCCCAGCCAACGUGGAGAAUCGGAGCGAGGGAGCGAGGGAGAAGGCCACAUGCUGUUACACAAGCACUUCUUACCUCCUUCUUUUCAUUCCGAGGGGAAGAUUGCCUCUGCACGCCGCUGAAUGGGAAAACAUUUUAGCAGGGACCAAAAUGCUCCACCAGCGCAUCUACGCCGAGGUGCGUGGAAGAAGAAUGGUGACAACAAAAUAAAAAAACGGACAUUAAAUACA